ACCGUUUACCUAUGAUUCAUACUUUACUCACACAUAUUAGGCACAAUUGUUUUUUUGAAUUAUUUAAUUUACAGAUACUGCAUGUGUACGAUAUAUAUCAAUGAAUAAGCAAAUAUUUUGCCUUUGGGUUUUUUCGAUGUACAUAACGUAAUGUUUGAAAGUAAUCUUCUUGAUUAUAGGAACUCACUCAAUUACGUAUCAACUUAUCACCGCUCCUUCGUAUUAUCGCGAGUUUUAAAUUUAAAAAUGACGUGUUACGGAAAAAUUACUUAUCAAAUUGCUUUAUUUAUUACGUUAAUUUAAUUAUAUUGAUUGCACGCUUCUUAUUACUGUACAACGCAGUUAAUAUUCAGAAAUUAAAUGCUCUCAAUAACACUGAUUCUAUGAAUAGCUUAAGGAAAAUAAAUUUGUUUGUUCCUUUUAACGGGUAUUUCAUGUGAAAAAUUAAAGUUAAAAUGAGGAUAUUCUGACUAUAAAUGCUGUCCUUGUUUAGGUAGCCUUUUUUUUCAAACUAGCGUCAUAAAAUACAGACAUGUUUAUUUUUGUACAGGGAUAAAAGAUUAAAUUUCAAAGGUUACGUUUGUUUUAAAAGCAAACAAGUACAGAUGUUAUCUGUAUUCCUAAAUUGUCAAAUGUCAACGAGUAACAUUAACGAGCGGCCUAGUCCAUAGAUAAUACACCUUUAAGGCCUAGUCGACCCUGACCACGAAAACUGAGAUUUGAAAAAAAAAUGGCUUCCUUUUUAUUAUAAUUUUUUCUUACCCAAGCAGGUUUGACCGCGCAGAGUCCGCUCUCCACGUUGCUACUCUAACAUUACCGAAACAAAUAUGAAGAAAACAAAACGGGUGAGAAUCUGAGAACAGCAUUGCUCCCUGUCUAGGUGGAGCAGUAACCUAUAUCGUUAGGAACAAAACGAAGACAAGGAUCAAAAUUUACAGACGAUGAGAUCAUGAGAAUUAGGAAUUCCCAUUAGUUACGUUUCAUGGGAGGCGUCUUCAAGGCUAAGCCGAAGUCGAGAAACUUAAAUCUUCACAAUUGUUACAGUUAAUAAUAAAUGUAGUUUAAAAAUUAAAAACAAACCUCCUUUU